UGCGACAAAUUUACAUGUCACGGCUGAGUUAUAUGCUUAAGGGAAGAUGAAAAGUUCAGUCAAUUUACAUGUCACCACUGAGUUAUACGUUCCAGGAAAGACGAAAGGUUCGAUAGAAUUACAUUACGGUUGAGUUAUAUGCUUAAGGGAGAACGAAACGUUCAGUCAAUUUACAUGUCACGGCUGAGUUAUAUGUUCCAGGGAAGACGAAAGGUUCGGUAAAAUUACAUUACGGAUGAGUUAUAUGUUUAAGGGAAGACAUCUAUAAAUUUACAUGUCACGGCUGAGUUAUAUGUUCAAGGGCAAACGAAAGAUGAGUGUAAAUUAUAUGUUACGGCUGAGUUAUAUGCUUCAAGGAAGACGAAAGGUUCGGUAAAUUACAUGUCACGGCUGAGUUAUCAUUCAGGGAAGACGAAAGGUUGUGUAAAUUAUAUGUUACGGCUGAGGUACAUCACGUUAAGGCUGAGUUAUAAUACAGAUCGGAAAACAACAUUUUUCUGGGGAAGACAAUAUGAAAUUUAUUGGCCAAAGAACAACAAUCAAAUUAAGAAACGUAAGAAUAUGUUUGAGGGAUACAUAGGAGGAAGACGAAACUAUAUGAAUCAAAACAUUGAUAGAAGUAGAAAUAUCUCUAAAUAGAUCGAUUGAGAGGAAAACUAAACGAGAGACAUAUAAAAUCAAAGUAAAAGAGUAGUUAUUCUUGAUUCAACUCAAACCUGUAACAAAUCAUAUAAAAUUCUAUAGAUCUCUUUGAUUUGGGUUUUGAUUUUUGAUGACUUGAAAUUCGACAUCACCGAAAGAGUUUCGGCCGAAGAAACGAGAUAAGUAGAGAACGACGACGAAAUUAGGGUUCCGUCGACUGAACGAGAGAAGAGAGCAACAAAUUUUUUUUU
rnacentral:sRNA from 1 species